UACAGAGGUCCCAAGCGUUGUUCGGAUUCACUGGGCGUAAAGGGUGCGUAGGUGGCCAGGUAAGUUCGGUGUGAAAGCUCGGAGCUUAACUCCGAAAUGUCAUUGAAUACUAUCUGGCUGGAGGGUCGGAGGGGAGACUGGAAUUCUCGGUGUAGCAGUGAAAUGCGUAGAUAUCGAGAGGAACACCAGUGGCGAAGGCGGGUCUCUGGACAGUUCCUGACGCUGAGGCACGAAGGUCAGGGGAGCAAACGGG
rnacentral:rRNA from 1 species